rnacentral:rRNA from 1 species
GACGAACGCUGGCGGCGUGCUUAACACAUGCAAGUCGAACGGAAAGGCCCUGCUUUUGUGGGGUGUUCGAGUGGCGAACGGGUGAGUAACACGUGAGUAACCUGCCCUUGACUUUGGGAUAAUUUCAGGAAACCGGGGCAAAUACCGGAUAUGACCUCUUGCACCACGGGGUGGUGUGGAAAGUUUCGGCCGUUGGGGAUGGACUCGGGGCUUAUCGGCCUGCCGGUGGGGUUGUGGCUUGCCAAGGCUUUGACGGGUAGCCGGCCUGAGAGGGUGGCCGGCCACAUUGGGCCGGAGAUACGGCCCAGACGCCUACGGGAGGCAGGAGUGGGGAAUAUUGCACAGUGGGAGGAAGGCUGAGGCGGCGACGCCGGGUGCGGGAUGACAGCCUCCGGGUGAUAAACCGCUUGCGCCUGUGAUGAAGGGUGAGUGACGGUAAUGGGAGAAGAAGCACCGGCUAACUACGUG